ACAUGCUGGAGGUACUAGACAAACACCUCAUUCCAGCAGCUACCACUGCCCCCAUUCACUGGGGAGAAUGGAAAGAAAACAACUGACAACAUCCUCAAAUGUAAACUCAAUUUGCCUCCCUACCUCACACAAGAAGCCAGAGAUCUGCUUAAAAAGGCUCAUCCAUUCUUUAGACACAUUAACUGGGAAGAACUUCUGGCUGGAAAGGUGGAGCCCCUCCUUUAAACCUCUGUUGGCAAUCUGAAGAGGAUGUAAGUCAGUUUGAUUCCGAGUCUACACAUCAGACACCUGUCGACAGCCCAGAUGACUCAACUCUCAGUGAAAGUGCCAAUCAGGUCUUUCCGAUAAGUGAAAGAAUUUCCACAUAGUCAUGGGAAAUUUUAAGUAUGAGGAUGGGCUCUUGGAUAAGAAAAUUCAGUUUGCCUGCUUUGCAGUUCAUGUAGGUAUCCUGGCCCACUAUUUUUUUUUUUUUUAAAUAAGCCAUGCUUUCGUAACUCAUUGAUACCUACAGAAUUGAUUUUCAUAAGGCAACAUUUUAUUUUAGCAAUUAGAGUGGAAGGUACAAUUUUUGGAGAGUAUGAUUCCCUUUUUAGGUUGGGCCACAGACUUAAAAUGGUGUUUGGCUUAGCAUCUCAACCAAAAAUUAGUCAUAGCAGUGGGGGAGAAAAACCUCACUAACUGCAUGUAUUUUAUUCCUGAAACAGCUGUAGAUUUUUGGUACUUCUUUUUUUUUUUGAGGCAGGGUCUCACCU